rnacentral:RNase_P_RNA from 1 species
UGGGGAGGCCGGGUAACCGCUCCCCCGGUACGUCGGGGGGGAGGAAAGUCCGGGCUCCGCCGGGCAGGAUGCUGGGUAACGCCCAGGAGGGGUAACCCUACGGAAAGUGCCACAGAAACCAGACCGCCAGCGGCCCCGGCCAGCCGGGGUGCGGGCAAGGGUGAAAAGGUGAGGUAAGAGCUCACCGCACCCCCGGGUGACCAGGGGUGUGGGUAAACCCCAUCCGGAGCAAGACCGAAUAGAAGGGCGAGGAG